rnacentral:rRNA from 1 species
UACGUAGGGUGCAAGCGUUAAUCGGAAUUACUGGGCGUAAAGCGUGCGCAGGCGGUUUUGUAAGUCUGACGUAAAAGCCCCGGGCUCAACCUGGGAAUUGCGUUGGAGACUGCAAGGCUUGAAUCUGGCAGAGGGGGGUAGAAUUCCACGUGUAGCAGUGAAAUGCGUAGAGAUGUGGAGGAACACCGAUGGCGAAGGCAGCCCCCUGGGUCAAGAUUGACGCUCAUGCACGAAAGCGUGGGGAGCAAACAGG